AAUCAACGCUGGCGGCGUGCCUCAGACAUGCAAGUCGAACGAUUAAAGCUCUCUUCGGAGAGUGCAUAGAGUGGCGCACGGGUGAGUAACACGUAAGUAAUCUACCCUCGAGUGGGGAAUAACAGUCGGAAACGACUGCUAAUACCGCAUCAUUCAGCGGCACCGCAAGGUGCCAGGUGUUAAAGGAGCAAUCCGCUUGAGGAGGAGCUUGCGGCAGAUUAUCUAGUUGGUAGGGUAAUGGCUUACCAAGGCUACGAUCUGUAUCCGGUCUAAGAGGACGGUCGGACGCACUGACACUGAAUAACGGGUCAGACUCCUACGGGAGGCAGCAGUCGGGAAUUUUGGGCAAUGGGCGAAAGCCUGACCCAGCAACGCCGCGUGAAGGAUGAAGUAUUUCGGUAUGUAAACUUCGAAAGAAUAGGAAGAAUAAAUGACGGUACUAUUUAUAAGCUCCGGCUAACUACGUGCCAGCCGCCGCGGUAAUAC
rnacentral:rRNA from 1 species